GCGCAGGUGGCGAAAUUGGUAGACGCGCUACUUUGAGGGGGUAGUGCCGGCAACGGCGUGUCAGUUCGAGUCUGAUCCUGCGCA
rnacentral:tRNA from 1 species